UCCGGUUUGUCACCGGCAGUCUCGCAUGAGUCCCCAACUGAAUGAUGGCAACUGGAAACAGGGGUUGCGCUCGUUGCCGGACUUAACCGAACAUCUCACGACACGAGCUGACGACAGCCAUGCAGCACCUGCCUUCCGGCUCCCUCUUGCGAGGGCACCCCGGUGUUUCCACCAGGUUCCGGAGACGUCAAGGCUGGGUAAGGUUCUGCGCGUUGCGUCGAAUUAAACCACAUGCUCCACCGCUUGUGCGGGCCCCCGUCAAUCCCUUUGAGUUUCAGCCUUGCGGCCGUACUCCCCAGGCGGGGCACUUAUCGCGUUAGCUGCGGCACCGAAGGGGUCGCUCCCCCCGGCACCUAGUGCCCAUCGUUUACGGCGUGGACUAC
rnacentral:misc_RNA from 1 species